ensembl:snoRNA SNORD22 Small nucleolar RNA SNORD22
UUCUCAUGAUGACACCUGCACACGUCCGACGCCUUGGGUCAAUGCCAGAACCUGAAAAGGUGAACCCACUGGUGUUGCCAUGGUAACAAGGGGACAGCUUGUUGGGGUUACCAACAGUCUGAAUAGAAA